rnacentral:rRNA from 1 species
CCUACGGGUGGCAGCAGUGGGGAAUUUUGGACAAUGGGGGCAACCCUGAUCCAGCCAUUCCGCGUGAGUGAAGAAGGCCUUCGGGUUGUAAAGCUCUUUCGGCCGGGAAGAAAUCGCAUCUCCUAAUACGGGGUGUGGAUGACGGUACCGGAAGAAGAAGCACCGGCUAACUACGUGCCAGCAGCCGCGGUAAUACGUAGGGUGCGAGCUGUAAUCGGAGCUUCUGGGCGUAAAGCACGCGCAGGCGUGUGAAAUCCCCGGGCUUAACCUGGGAACUGCGUUUGUGACUGGUGGGCUUGAGUGCGGCAGAGGGGGGUGGAAUUCCACGUGUAGCAGUGAAAUGCGUAGAGAUGUGGAGGAACACCGAUGGCGAAGGCAGCCCCCUGGGUCGACACUGACGCUCAUGCACGAAAGCGUGGGGAGCAAACAGGAUUAGAUACCCCGGUAGUC